AACGAACGCUGGCGGCAUGCCUAACACAUGCAAGUCGAACGGGGUAUAGGUGCUUGCGCCUAUACUUAGGAGGCAGACGGGUGAGUAACGCGUGGGAAUGUACCUCUUGGUUCAGAACAACGACUGGAAACGGUCGCUAAUACUGGAUACGUCCGAAAGGAGAAAGAUUUAUCGCCGAGAGAGCGGCCCGCGUUAGAUUAGGUAGUUGGUUGGGUAAUGGCUGACCAAGCCUGUGAUCUAUAGCUGGUUUGAGAGAAUGAUCAGCCACACUGGGACUGAGACACGGCCCAGACUCCUACGGGAGGCAGCAGUGGGGAAUAUUGGACAAUGGGGGAAACCCUGAUCCAGCGAUGCCGCGUGAGUGAUGAAGGCCUUCGGGUUGUAAAGCUCUUUUAUGGGGGACGAUAAUGACGGUACCCCAAGAAUAAGCCCCGGCUAACUUCGUGCCAGCCGCCGCUGUAACAC
rnacentral:rRNA from 1 species